GUAGCGCUUGAGGCACUCCUCGCAGACGGGCUUCUUGCAGCAGGGCAGCGGCUUGAGGGGCUUCUCCUCCAGGCAGACGCGGCAGAUGAUUUGCACUCCGGUGGGAAGCUUCCUGUCAACAAGAUGAAGUAUCAUAGUGAUGAAGAUGGAAAAUAAUGUUGGGGCAAUAACACACCCGUUUGACACCUGAUUCCACCUUAAAUGGGUCACUUUGGGAACAGCUGCUGUUGAAAUUUAAAGCACCCACUUCAAGUGACAGACGUCCAGGGUGGUGGAUUGUUUAACUUUUUCACCUCAGUGCUUGGGGACAGGAGGGUCUGGCCACAUCAUCCUGGAGUGCUCCACUCAACCAUGCUGCAUAGUUCAGAGGGACUCCCUGCAGUUUAAGGUGGGUGCCAGAGAGCUUUUGUGAUCAUAGUAAUUGUGAAUAUUUGCAUAGCUCUUACAGAUCCAUAAUUCUAGGUUGCAAAUCUGUAACUGAAAUGCAGAAUGCUAGGCAAUAUUUUUUAAAAUAUAUAUCA